rnacentral:rRNA from 1 species
AUUGAACGCUGGCGGCAGGCCUAACACAUGCAAGUCGAGCGGAUGAAGGGAGCUUGCUCCUGGAUUCAGCGGCGGACGGGUGAGUAAUGCCUAGGAAUCUGCCUGGUAGUGGGGGAUAACGUCCGGAAACGGGCGCUAAUACCGCAUACGUCAUGAGGGAGAAAGUGGUGGAUCUUCGGACCUCACGCUAUCAGAUGAGCCUAGGUCGGAUUAGCUAGUUGGUGGGGUAAAGGCCUACCAAGGCGACGAUCCGUAACUGGUCUGAGAGGAUGAUCAGUCACACUGGAACUGAGACACGGUCCAGACUCCUACGGGAGGCAGCAGUGGGGAAUAUUGGACAAAGGGCGAAAGCCUGAUCCAGCCAUGCCGCGUGUGUGAAGAAGGUCUUCGGAUUGUAAAGCACUUUAAGUUGGGAGGAAGGGCAGUAAGUUAAUACCUUGCUGUUUUGACGUUACCAACAGAAUAAGCACCGGCUAACUUCGUG